GGGGAAAGCUGGUGUGGUAUAGUCAAACAUUUUCAGAGCAUUACAAACCACCACAAUGCCAACAAAGACACAGCUUUGAAGUUAGCUCAUGUUGAGGAAGUUUGCCAUAUCAUUGACAGUGGGACAUGGUUUUCAAAUGGGAAAAGAGUUCAACCUGCACAACAGACAAUUGAAGAGAUAAAUCAUCCACGGAUUCAAACUUUUGUAAUGGGAAAUAGGACACAGAAAGAAGAUGAACAAAUUAUAGGAGUGAAAAGAAAUGUAGGAGACGAAAUCAGAAACAUGAAAAGGAAGGAUGGAAGUAAAUUAAACAUUGGAGAAAUUGUUUAUUUUAAAUUAGAUGACCAUAUUAAUUAUGGUAAAAUUGACUGCAAAACCAGUUCAGAUGUUACUGUUUUGUUGAUGAUACCUCACCAGGAAGAUCCCUUAUUCCAUUGCAAGAGCCUUACACUCACCACAAGAAGAAAAAGCUUGCCUUACAAUAUCAUUGAGGGCUCUUUGUUUGUAUCUCAUGAUUGUAGAAAUGGUGGAUGCUGUUCCAUGGU